GAUGAACGCUAGCUACAGGCUUAACACAUGCAAGUCGAGGGACCGGCGCACGGGUGAGUAACACGUAUCCAACCUUCCCUUUACUCGGGGAUAGCCUUUCGAAAGAAAGAUUAAUACCCGAUAUAAAGGAUGGGGAUGCGUUCCCUUAGGUUGUUGGUGAGGUAACGUCCCACCAAGCCUUCGAUGGAUAGGGGUUCUGAGAGGAAGGUCCCCCACAUUGUAACGGAGGAAAGAGCCAAACUCCUACGGGAGGAAGAAGUGGGGAAUAUUGGUCAAUGGGCGCUAGACUGAACCAGCCAAGAAGCGUGAAGGAUGAAGGCUUAUGGGUCGUAAACUUCUUUUAUAUAAGAAUAUGUAUUAUAUGAAUAAGGAUCGGCUAACUCCGUGCCAGCAGCCGCGGUAAUAC
rnacentral:rRNA from 1 species